CUAUCUGGUUGAUCCUGCCAGUAGUCAUAUGCUUGUCUCAAAGAUUAAGCCAUGCAUGUCUGAGUACAGACCGAUCUAAGGUGAAACCGCGAAUGGCUCAUUAAAUCAGUCGUAAUUUCUUGGAUAGUGAAAAACUUUCCUCGGAUAACUGUGGAAAAUCCAGAGCUAAUACGUGCAACUGAGCUCCGACCUAGGCGCGAGCCUUGGGAAGAGCGCAUUUAUUAGAUUCAAAACUGACCGGCGUACUCCUUCGGGAUACGUCGUUCGUCAAAUGUUUGAUGACUCCGGAUAACUUAGCCGAGCGCUACGGUCUUUAGUACCGGCGCCGUAUCUUUCAAGUGUCUGCCUUAUCAGCUUUCGAUUGUAGGUUAAACGCCUACAAUGGCUGUAACGGGUAACGGGGAAUCAGGGUUCGAUUCCGGAGAGGGAGCCUGAGAAACGGCUACCACAUCUAAGGAAGGCAGCAGGCACGCAAAUUACCCACUCCCAGCCCGGGGAGGUAGUGACGAAAAAUAACGAUGCGAGACUCUUCCGAGGCCUCGCAAUCGGAAUGAGUCCAUCCUAAAUCUUUGGACGAGGAUCCAUUGGAGGGCAAGUCUGGUGCCAGCAGCCGCGGUAAUUCCAGCUCCAAUAGCGUAUAUUAAAGUUGCUGCGGUUAAAAAGCUCGUAGUUGGACUUUCUAGAUCCAUUUCGUGGGUGAGUCGCUCGUUGUACUAGCGAUUCGCGUCAGUCACUAGAUAAUGUCGAGUUUCGGCGGCGAGUACUUCUACUAAGUUGGCUUCGGCUUUCUAUAGGGGAGCCGUCGUCGUUUCGCGGUAAACUUUCUAGCGGACGGUGUUUCUCGGUCUUCGGGUAUAGCUCGCCCGCGUUUGGUACAAUUAAAAUUUUGUCGGCUCGCUCGGAGUGCUCUUUACCGAGUGUUCCAGGGUGGCCGACACGUUCACUUUGAAAAAAUUAGAGUGCUUAAAGCGGGCUGUAAAAACGGCCGGAAUGUCUGUGCAUGGAAUGAAGUAACAGGACCUCGAUUCUGUUCUUUUUGUCGGUUUUAAUGAACCGAGGUAAUGAUUAAAAGGGACAGACGGUGGCAUUAGUAUUGCGACGCUAGAGGUGAAAUUCUUGGACCGUCGCAAGACUAACUACUGCGAAAGCAUUUGCCGAGAAUGUUUUCAUUAAUCAAGAACGAAAGUUAGAGGAUCGAAGGCGAUCAGAUACCGCCCUAGUUCUAACCCUAAACUAUGCUAACUAGCGAUCCGCCGAAGUCAUUCCCACGACUCGGCGGGAAGCCCCAGGGAAACCAAAGUCUUUGAGUUCCGGGGGAAGUAUGGUUGCAAAGCUGAAACUUAAAGGAAUUGACGGAAGGGCACCACCAGGAGUGGAGCCUGCGGCUUAAUUUGACUCAACACGGGAAACCUCACCAGGCCCGGACAUCAUAAGGAUUGACAGAUUGAGAGCUCUUUCUCGAUUUGAUGGGUGGUGGUGCAUGGCCGUUCUUAGUUGGUGGAGUGAUCUGUCUGGUUGAUUCCGAUAACGAACGAGACUCUACCCUACUAACUAGUCGGCGGAUCGUAACCCUGAGAUGGUUAGUUUGUAUAGGAGAGUUUUUGCCUAGGCGAGGUUCUUUCGGUGACGGGUCUUCGGGAGUGUGCUC
rnacentral:rRNA from 1 species